UACGUAGGGGGCAAGCGUUGUCCGGAUUUAUUGGGCGUAAAGAGCGUGUAGGCGGCCAAGCAGGUCCGCUGUGAAAACUCGAGGCUCAACCUCGAGACGUCGGUUGAAACCGUAUGGCUAGAGUCCGGAAGAGGAGAGUGGAAUUCCCGGUGUAGCGGUGAAAUGCGCAGAUAUCGGGAAGAACACCCGUGGCGAAGGCGGCAUUCUGGACUGCAACUGACACUGAAGAACGAAAGCCAGGGGAGCAAACGGG
rnacentral:rRNA from 1 species